UCGACGGUUAGUAAGGAUCGGCUCCUAAACCGAGAGAGAAGGAAGUAACAGCCCGUGAGAAAAGUUGCAGUUGCUAAUAUAUUGCUAUGUGGACGUGGCAGGCGUACGUACACCUCGGAACCAUCGGUGAUUUUCGGAAACAUUCGGGUGGAUUCGGAAAAAAUUGCGCAUGCGCGCUACUUGCGUGACCUUUCCCUCGACCAUCAUGGCCGCCGUGGGCAGACUGAGUCUGUGUUCGACGUUAUUUUCCCGAAAUACAUCAUUUCUAGGUCCUCAGACUCGAGGAUUUCACGUCACAACUACUCUGCAGAAACCCAAGAGCAAGAAUGUGCUGGUGCUGUUGAGAAGCAUGUCUGGGAGCGGCUGCAGUAUUGUAAAAAAGAGAGGCAGAACAGAAGAUAAAAUUGUUGCUAUAUUAUUUGACAAAAGAGUUGGCAAACACUGCGUCUUUAGAGAAGAAAGAAAGAUCAAAUCACUGAAAUGAGACAAGAGAGGUUCCAGUUUGCACCAGAUAGUGUAGUUGCCAUCAUCGAAGAAGUCUAAGAAGCAGUAUACUGAAAACAACAUAAGGAACAUGCUCAAUGUUUUCUGAAGGACUGCUCAAUAAUGAUAGUGUAGGGGUGGAGAAGAUAAGAGAGACAAUUCAAAUACUCUGUUGUUGCCUGCCAGACCUGUGUUGUCAGACACUGUGUGGUGCAACAAUAGUUUUAAGUGUACAAUUAUAUACAUGAUACUGAAACGAUGAAGUGAAUGGACACAUAGUCUUUAUACAAAAAUGUAUAUGGAAUAGUUUUUUUUAGCUUAAAAUCAAAACAAAAAAGUUUUUUGCAUUGAAAAUAAACAUCCCGAUGAGAAACUGGUCACUUCCUUCUUUUGAAUAAGUAGAGGCCACGAAAAGACCACUACAGGAAUAGGGCAUAAUAUAGCCUGUAACAAUUUUGUCCUAUUGCACCUUCUUCCAAUCAGCAUUAUUAUCUAUGUACUUGAUGUGCUGAACUAAUUAAAACAAAUUAAAGAUGCCUUUACCAUGAUGUAUAGGGUAAUAAAAUUACAGUGUACAACAUUGUUCAA